GAAUAUGAAGCAAUCUUGCAAUUAGUUUCGACCUAAUGUCAUGGUAUUUACUUACCCUUAUUCU
rnacentral:tRNA from 1 species